rnacentral:rRNA from 1 species
CCUACGGGAGGCAGCAGUGGGGAAUAUUGCACAAUGGGGGAAACCCUGAAGCAGCGACGCUGCGUGAGGGAAGAAGUUUUUCGGAAUGUAAAGCCCUAUUAGUAGGGAAGAAAAUGACGGUACCUGACUAAGAAGCACCGGCUAACUACGUGCCAGCAGCCGCGGUAAUACGUAGGGGGCAAGCGUUAUCCGGAUUUACUGGGUGUAAAGGGAGUGUAGACGGGUUAGCAAGUCAGAGGUGAAAGCCUGCGGCUUAACUGCAGGACUGCAUUUGAAACUGUCCGGCUAGAGUGCUGGAGAGGUAGGCGGAAUUCCUAGUGUAGCGGUGAAAUGCGUAGAUAUUAGGAAGAACACCAGUGGCGAAGGCGGCUUACUGGACAGUAACUGACGUUGAGGCUCGAAAGCGUGGGGAGCAAACAGGAUUAGAUACCCCAGUAGUC